AUGAUACUAUACCUUGAUGCGCUUGUCCAUGACAUCCCAGUAAGCAAUUGCGCGAUACGAUCGAAUGCAUGGGAUAGUACUCUAAUUGCCAAGGUGAUGAAGAAGGAUACUAUCUCUCCUGAGGAGUAUAGAGGCACGGAGCAGACACCACUGUUUGGUGGAAUUUUGCAAGCGGAAGCAUUCGUGGCAUCCAAGUUACCAAUAACCUACAAUCCGCAGAAAAAGGAAAAGAUUGCGAAAGUGGUCAAUGACCUGUGCAAGGCUGAGGAAGAGAAGGAGGAGGAGGAGGAGGACAAACAAGAAGAGGACAAAGGAGAGGAGGAGGACAAGGAAGAAGAUAGUGAGGCGGAGGAGGAGGAAGAAGAAGGUGAGGCCAAAGAGGGGGACGGGGACAAAGGUGCAGCAGUUGAUGGCAGUGAGAGGGGAGAAGACAAAGGCGCAACAGUUGAUGGUAGUGAGAGGGAAUAA
rnacentral:rRNA from 1 species